rnacentral:lncRNA from 1 species
AAUCAGUAAAAAAUACCAGCAAGCAACUUGAAUGCUUUUAAAAAUUUGACUACAAAAGUCAUUAUGUUGUGCACCAGUUGACAAGAGACGACACUUUCGUGUUCUUGCCAAACAAAAACGAAAACAAAAAAUUAUAGGAGCCUGUUCUAAGUACUGGGGUAACAACCCUAGACACUGUCUUUGGCUUCACAGAGAUAACAGGCCAGAUGGGCAUUGAGACAAGUGAACAGGCAGAUGGAAAACAGCAUGUAAUUGAUGCCUUUGUUUUCAAAUGAGAUAUUUCUGGAGUGAUAAAUCUGGAUCUAUGGAUCUUACAUAAGGGAUUUAGGUGGGCAGCAGCACUUGGUUAUUUACAAGUUCAGGAUCCUGUUUAUAAAGCAAGGAAAGAUUGCUAUCUGUCUCCAGCACUAUGGCGAGAUAAUUAAUAGGAGCACUGCUGGAGACUGAUAGUGCAGGCGGCCGAUACCCAUGGCAGGAGCUCUCGUCAUCUAACUGCCACAGAAUUGUGAAGGUAAAGAAUCUGCAGAAAAGUGGAACAUUCAUUUUUACUAAAUAAAUGCAUUAUCUAUAGCACACAUUAUAGAGUUUUGUUGUUGUUGUUGUUAAUCUAACAUGUAACAGAAAUAAAAGAGAUUGUUUCUAAACCACUUUAAACUGUUCUGGCAACUACCUUAGACCCUUCUGGCGAAGCAUCUCUAAAGAAGACCAUUGACAGCCACUAUCAGUAGCAGCAGCAGUGGGCAUGUGUCCUCGCUUGCCACCCCACAAAAAAGCAAACAAACAAAAAUCAUUCCCAGAUGAAAACUACGAAGUUGUAAACUAUAAAAGGGAAGAUUAAACAUUGUCUGUGUGUUCUCUAACAUCCAUUUGAUUUAUAGUUUUUUUUUUUUUCCUUUUUUGACAGAAGUUGGUCUUAUCCCAUUUUCUCAGCAUAAAAAUAACAAUUCUCUUAUAAGGCAGUUUUACGCAGCAUUAACAGAGCAAAGAGUAAACUUUGUUUGCUUUAAUAAUACUAAAUUGUAACAUCAUAUUUUCUAUUUGCAAAUGUUUGUCCAUCUACUGGAUGUAUAAAUCUUCGUAGUGACAAAAGUAUGUUUGAUUUAUUUAUAAUGGUCAAUGGAAGGGCUAUGAAAUUGUGUAUUAAGCUACUAUGAGAAAAGCGGCAUGGCUCAAAUAAUCAUCUUUAUAUUCAGCAUGCUUCAGGCAAUCACUAAUUUUUGAGAAAUCUAUUGUUCUCUAGUUUUUCCCAAGUACUCAUUUCCAACCUCAUUCCAUCAGGUAUUCUCUGAGGAGUCUUAUCCCUAUGACUUGCUCAAAGCAGAUAUUGUCUAUUUUUUUUGUCUAUUAAGAAAAUAACAAAAUUUUAAAACCAAAUAAGAUCUUGGCUAAGAUACCAUAUGAAAGGUGAAUACACACAGACCCAAACAAGUCCAAAAGAUUGCCUGUCAUAAAGUUAAAACUGGAAUCAGAACUGGCAACCUGGACUUCUGACUUGUGAUUCAGGAUAUAUUUCAC